GGUCGCGCGUGCUGAGCCCUGAGCGGGAGUGGGCGACGGGCUUAGGGGCUCCCGUGGCCUUGGCUUCCCCGGGCUCGGGAGCCAGCUUCAGCUCCUGACCCCACUGGGAGACGCAGGUGUCGCGGGGGAGAGUCGGGGGCGCAGUGCAGGCAGCUGUGUCAAUCGUUUCCCCCCGAGGGACUCGCCAGUGUCUGGGGACGGUGGGUUGUACAGCUGCGCCGGGCCUGCUGGAGCCGCCUCCCGGGAGCGGGGAGCUCGCGGCUCGGAGCUGCCCUCGACCCAGACUUGCCCGUGCUGGCUCGGCGCAGUUUAUACUCCACCACCUAGAUUGGUUCUCUUCACUGCAUUCGAAUCAGCUUUACAAAACACACCAGAUAUUCAGUAGGUGCUUUCUUCUUUGCUACAAUGUCUCUAUGCAAGCUCUCAAAUGUCUGAUAUUUUUCCCUCUUAAAUGUUAUAUUUAUGCCAGAAACUGAAAUCCUGGAUCUGAGCCAACCUUGUACCCUUUGAUACUGCAGGCUGCCCUCCUGUAUGCUGCCUGGAAGAGGGCAGAGUCCCAUGACCUUGAGUUCCACUCAGGUGAACUUAUCCUUUGCUUUAGCUGAAAAAAGAAAAUCCUGCAAAGAAAACUAAUAGAAGAAUCUGUUCUGCCAUUACUGUGACUUUGUUCUAGCACAACACAUGGGAACUGUCAGAACUGGAGUUACUAAUUAGAGCUAUUUAGUCUUUUUCUGAUAAUGUGUAGUGAAAUAUAUUACAACUUAUAAAGUUCAGUUCAGAGAACUAGAAGUCAGAAAUUAGCACAUUGGCCACGGAAAAUUUUUCUUUGUCAUACAUUGGAAUAAAGUCAUAAAUUGUACACUGGACCUUGUGGUGGUUAUAUUUAGAACGCCCUACAAGAUGUGGGCCAGACCCUGCCCUUUCCAUACCGGGCAGAUGUGACUGUUCAGUUAAUCUCCCCUGACCAGCCGAUAUUCAAUUGUAACACCCCCACUCCCAAAUGCUCACUAUUCCUACUUUAUUUUUCUCCAGGGCAUUUAUCUGGAGAAAAAAUUUAUCAGGGCAUUUAUCAGUGACUUGAAGCUUAACAAUAGUUUCAUAUAACCUGUGACUCCAUAAAUUGUUGAUGGUUUUCCCAAUGGAGAGGGGAAUGCUUUCUGGGUUACCUUUUGUUUUUGCUUUGGAUAGAUUUUUAUCCUGAGCAUUGAGAAAAUGAAUACUACUAGAAUCCCAAUUACCUUGUUUUCCAGGAUAAUUGGAAUAUGUUCUCCAGAGAUGGUGAUAUCCUUUGGGAAAUAAACUGCUGUCUAGGUAGUUCAAAGACAAAGCUAGGGAAAUUCCCUGGGCACACGUUGCCUCACAAGGACUGGUACCCAGCAACCUCUGAAGGUCCAGCUACCUGACUCUUGUCUUGAAACAGCUCUCUUCACCACAGGUUUUUCACCCUUUCCCCCCAAACAAAAACUCUCCUGGGGUGUCCCAUCACCAAGACUAACGUCCAGAAUCCCUAUCAUGACCUACAAGGUCCUGCGUGAUCUGGCCCCGACUACUACGAACCCUUCCCACAGUGCCAAGCCUACCUCUGUCUAUGGCUAGAACCUGCCAAACCAGCUCCUGCCUCAAGACCUUUGUAGGUGAUGCUCCCUCCACUAGUCUUGGAGAUGCGAGUAUGCACAUGACUUGCUUCCUCACCUCUCAGGUUUUCCCUCUAGUGUCUCCUAAGUAGUGCCUCCUCUGACUGUGCUAUUUAAGUUCAGCUCCUUACCUGGCCAUCCCAGCACUUUGUAUCUCCUUUUCCUGUCGUUUUUCUCUAUAGUAGUUAUCUGUAUGUUUUACAUAUUGUUUAUCAUUUGUUUUCUUCCACUAUAAUAUAAAUGCUAUGAGGACAGGGAUUGUUGGCUUUUGUUCACUACUAUAUGCCAAGCACAUCUGGAAUAGUGCCUCACACACACAGCAAGUGUGCCAUAAAUACUUGUUGACCGAAAACCUCGUAGAUUGUGUUCAAUUCUUCUGUAUCUUUACCAAGAUAUACUAAUAUCUUUUGUGUGCUUGACCUAUCAACAAUUGCAAAAGGUACAUUGAAACCUUCCACCUCUAAGAGUAAUUUUGUCAAUUUUGCCCUGUAGUUCUAUUUUCGUUUUUAUAUUUUUAGGAUAAUUUAUUGGGUACAUAUAAGUUUAGACUUUUUAUAACUUCCUGGUGGAAUUGAAAGCUUUGUAGUAAUAUGGGAGAUUAAUUGCAAAAACUGCCUGAAUUUCCAUCCCUCCCCUGUAUGCACACCUUUUGCAAUGCGACUUUGCAGCUCUUCCCAGGAUCUGGGCUGGCCUUGUAACUUGUGUUGGCCAAAAGAAUGUGGCAGUAGUUCUGAGCCUGAGCCUUAAGAAUCCUUGAAUGCUUCCACAUUCUCUCUUGGAUCCCUGCCUCCAUGAGAACAGGACUGGGCUAGCCGGCUGGAGAAUGAGAAGCCACAUGGAAAAGAGCUGAGGUCAUCCACCGCCAGUCAACAGCCCCCAAACAUGUGAGCCUAUCCCGGAUCAGCAUAGCCACCUACCUGACCUGCAGCCACCCACAGAUACAUGUGUGAGCCCACCUGGGGCCAGGAGAACUGCCCAGCUGACUUGUACACUCCUGAGCAAUAAUAACUAGUUAUUACGUUAAGCCUAUGAAUUUUGGAGUGGUUUGUUCUACAGCAUUAUUGUGGCAAUAGAUAAUUAAUGAUUAAUGCCUCCUCAUUUGGAUCUCAGCCUUGGAAAGGCUUUUCCGACUGCGUAGGCAAUCUAAAUCAGCUUCCCAGUCUGUAUAAUUCUGGUACAUUAUUUUCUCAAUAACACUUCUCACUCUCUGAAAUGAUUUUACUUCUUUAUUUGUCUCCCAGCCUAGACUGUCAACUAUGUGAAGGCAGAGACCUUGUUUGUUUUGAUCCCUGCUCUAUCCCCAGCUCAGUACCACACUGCCCAGCUGUGUGUCCACUGGACAUUGGAAACAUGGCUAGUCCACCUUGAGAUGUGCUGAAAGUGUAAAAUACAAACUGGAUUUCAAAGGCUUAGUACAAAAAAUAUAUAAAGUACCUCAAUUUUUAUACUAAUUAAAUGUUGAUAGUAUUAAGUAGAAUACUCGUAUAUUAUUAAAAUUAAUUUCAUCUCUCUUGACCUUUUUAAUGUGGCUACUAGAAAAAGUAAUUUUGUGACUUGCAUUAUAUUUCUAUGAGAGAGUACUGAUACAGAAGUUCAGAAAAUAUUAAAUGAAAAUAUAACAUAGACUUCGCAAAAGAAAUGAGCUAUCAAGCUACAGAAAGACAUAGAAGAAUCGUAAAUGCAUAUUACUAAAGAGACAGAAGCCAGUAUGGAACGGCUACAUACUAUAUGAUUCCAACUAUAUGAGAUCCUAGAAAAGACAACACUAUAGAGAUCAGUGGUUGUCAGGGGUUCACGGGGAGGGAGGAGGAGUAAUGAGAUAAUGAAGCACCAAGAAUUUUUAGGGUGGUGAAAUUAUUCUGUAUGAUACCGUAAUGGUGGGUCCAUAAUAUGCAUUUUCAAAACUCACAGAACUAUACAACACAGAGAGUGAACCCUAAUGUAAACUAUGGACGUUAGUUAAUAAUGUAUCAAUAUUGGCUUAUUAAUUGAAACAAAUAUACCCCACUGAUGCUAGACGUUAAUAAUAGGAUGUGGGGGUGGAAGGGAGGCAUAUGGGAACUCCCUGUACUGUAUGCUUAAUUUUUCUGUGAAAACUGUUUUUAAAAAAGUCUAUUUUAAAAAUGAAUCUACUCUUGUACAGCCACCAGAGUGGUAUUCCUAAAACAUAAAUAAACUACUUCCCUCUUUUAAAAAAA